CCUACGGGAGGCUGCAGUGGGGAAUAUUGCACAAUGGGCGCAAGCCUGAUGCAGCCAUGCCGCGUGUGUGAAGAAGGCCUUCGGGUUGUAAAGCACUUUCAGCGGGGAGGAAGGCGUUAAGGUUAAUAACCUUGGCGAUUGACGUUACCCGCAGAAGAAGCACCGGCUAACUCCGUGCCAGCAGCCGCGGUAAUACGGAGGGUGCAAGCGUUAAUCGGAAUUACUGGGCGUAAAGCGCACGCAGGCGGUCUGUCAAGUCGGAUGUGAAACCCCCGGGCUCAACCUGGGAACUGCAUUCGAAACUGGCAGGCUAGAGUCUUGUAGAGGGGGGUAGAAUUCCAGGUGUGGCGGUGAAAUGCGUAGAGAUCUGGAGGAAUACCGGUGGCGAAGGCGGCCCCCUGGACAAAGACUGACGCUCAGGUGCGAAAGCUUGGGGAGCAAACAGGAUUAGAUACCUUGUAGUC
rnacentral:rRNA from 1 species